CCUGGGGAGUACGGCCGCAAGGUUAAAACUCAAAUGAAUUGACGGGGGCCCGCACAAGCGGUGGAGCAUGUGGUUUAAUUCGAUGCAACGCGAAGAACCUUACCUACUCUUGACAUCCAGAGAACUUUCCAGAGAUGGAUUGGUGCCUUCGGGAACUCUGAGACAGGUGCUGCAUGGCUGUCGUCAGCUCGUGUUGUGAAAUGUUGGGUUAAGUCCCGCAACGAGCGCAACCCUUAUCCUUUGUUGCCAGCGGUCCGGCCGGGAACUCAAAGGAGACUGCCAGUGAUAAACUGGAGGAAGGUGGGGAUGACGUCAAGUCAUCAUGGCCCUUACGAGUAGGGCUACACACGUGCUACAAUGGCGCAUACAAAGAGAAGCGACCUCGCGAGAGCAAGCGGACCUCAUAAAGUGCGUCGUAGUCCGGAUUGGAGUCUGCAACUCGACUCCAUGAAGUCGGAAUCGCUAGUAAUCGUGGAUCAGAAUGCCACGGUGAAUACGUUCCCGGGCCUUGUACACACCGCCCGUCACACCAUGGGAGUGGGUUGCAAAAGAAGUAGGUAGCUUAACCUUCGGGAGGGCGCUUACCACUUUGUGAUUCAUGACUGGGGUGAAGUCGUAACAAGGUAACCGUAGGGGAACCUGCGGUUGGAUCACCUCCUUA
rnacentral:rRNA from 1 species